rnacentral:rRNA from 1 species
UGCAUAUCAAAAGCGGAGGAAAAGAAACCAACAGGGAUUGCCUUAGUAGCGGCGAGUGAAGCGGCAAAAGCUCAAAUUUGAAAUCUGGCUCUUUCAGAGUCCGAGUUGUAAUUUGAAGAAGGUAUCUUUGGGUCUGGCUCUUGUCUAUGUUUCUUGGAACAGAACGUCACAGAGGGUGAGAAUCCCGUGCGAUGAGAUGAUCCAGGCCUAUGUAAAGUUCCUUCGAAGAGUCGAGUUGUUUGGGAAUGCAGCUCUAAGUGGGUGGUAAAUUCCAUCUAAAGCUAAAUAUUGGCGAGAGACCGAUAGCGAACAAGUACAGUGAUGGAAAGAUGAAAAGAACUUUGAAAAGAGAGUGAAAAAGUACGUGAAAUUGUUGAAAGGGAAGGGCUUGAGAUCAGACUUGGUAUUUUGUAUGUUACUUCUUCGGGGGUGGCCUCUACAGUUUAUCGGGCCAGCAUCAGUUUGGGCGGUAGGAGAAUUGCGUUGGAAUGUGGCACGGCUUCGGUUGUGUGUUAUAGCCUUCGUCGAUACUGCCAGCCUAGACUGAGGACUGCGGUUUAUACCUAGGAUGUUGGCAUAAUGAUCUUAAGUCGCCCGUCUUGAAACCACGG